AAUAAACGCUGGCGGCGUGCCUAACACAUGCAAGUCGAGCGAGAAAGCUCCUUCGGGAGUUAGUAAAGCGGCGAACGGGUGAGCAACACGUGAGAAUCUACCCUUUAGUGAAGAAUACCCUCGAGAAAUCGAGGCUAAUACUGCAUACGUCCCUUCGGGGAGAAAGAUGGCCUCUUUGCUAUCGCUAAAGGAUGAGCUUGCGUACUAUUAGCUAGUUGGCGGGGUAAAGGCCCACCAAGGCAAUGAUGGUUAACCGGCCUGAGAGGGUGUACGGUCACACUGGAACUUAGACACGGUCCAGACUCCUACGGGAGGCAGCAGUGAGGAAUCUUGCGCAAUGGGCGAAAGCCUGACGCAGCGACGCCGCGUGGAGGAUGACGGUUUUCGGAUUGUAAACUCCUGUUAAGCGGGAAGAAAGCCUUGUUUCUAAUACAAGCAAGGUAUGACGGUACCGCUAGAGAAAGCACCGGCUAACUUCGUGCCAGCAGCCGC
rnacentral:rRNA from 1 species